ACACUUCCAUCUAGACCAGGUUGCUCCAAGUCCCAUCCAGCCUGGCCUUGAAUGCUUCCAGGGUGGAACCAUCUACAACUUCUCUGGGCAACCCAGCCUGUGCCUGUUCUUGGGAUUGCCUCAGUCCAAGUGAAGGUCCUUGCAUAUCCUCAGAAACAAAUUUGAGAAACUGAAAGAGGAUUAAAGAAAGCAAGAGAAUAAACAAACUCAUCUGGCAGAAACUAUAUUUUCAGCUCUGCUUGAAAUAAACCUCCACAGCCUCUCAAUACUUUUAACAUUGAAAGAGAGACCUGUAUAGCAGCAGUGCUCAAAAAGCAGGUAUGAAAUGGACAAAACUGACAGUCAAUGGAGAUUAUCAUUGCAUUGUGAGGACACGGGAGAAGCUGCCUGCAUCAAACUCAAGCAUCUAUUGCCUUUGAAAGCAUUGUCUGGCUGUGACCUUUAAGGUCAGUAUAUAACCCAGUGAGCUCUAGAACAAAAAGCAAGAUGCUGAUUUAAAGAUCAGCCUGCAUGUAUAUGCGCCAAAUCAUUUUCUGAAAACUGAAUUUAGGACUUCCUUGAAAUGUCACUGUCAUAAUUUUACUUGCUGGCUUCAAUGAAACUACUCCUGAUUUGGUCCCCUAUGAUAUAGCAGCACUACGAACUGCAAUAAGUCACUGUGGAAGGUGCUCAUUCUCUGCUCAAAUGAAUUUCUCCACAAGCAUGCUCAAGGCUCUUUUGCCUCAAGCUUCUCUAACAUUCACCUUAAAAAGUGCAACACUUUUACCCAUACAAGGCUUCAUUGCAAAGCACCACUGGUAAGGGGAUAAAAGAUAGACUUAAAUACUAUCUUGAGUACGCUGGGUUCUAGUCUUCUCUUUUUAAGGACUUUGCCUUUUCUAAAAUGAAGUUUGACAGAAUAAAAGAUUUGUCAAUAUGGUAUUUUAAACAUCCCCACUGUGCCUGUCCUUAUUUUCUUUGCAACCCUUAUCUGUGGAAAUGCUGCAGAAAAGAGAUCACAGCUUUUUAUAUAUUUAUUUAUUUUACAGAAAUGAUUUUCCAGACUUUUGUUUCAGAUAUACUUUUUUUUUUUUUUUAAAUAACAAUACAAUCCUACUGACUGAUUUAGGGAAAUCAGAAGCAGCUUCCAAGAUUUCAAAUCAUAAUGUUAUAAACUGCUUGUUUUGAGGCAAGAACACUGAAAAGAAAGUUCUUCAGGAGAAUAAAACACAUGCCUUUCAGAUUGCCUGAAAUAAAUUUUCUCUGUCGAGAAUUAUGAUUAGUUGCUAUAUGACUGAUUUUUAGUUAGUUUCAUAAGUGACAUAUG